ensembl:snoRNA
AGCCUCAUUAUAGAUUAGAAUGGGCUCUGUUGAUUGGUGUCUAACAUUGGGCAGUGUGGCUAAAGUUGAGACACAGGUCACACUUCCAUCACAGUAAAUGUAUUACAGUGGUGACAAUGAGACCUGUAACAUUU